AUACUUAACUGGUUGGGGGAGGAUAACAUGAUCCUGAAGGUAGUUUUCCCAGGGCUAGGCUUAUCCACUGCACUCCAGAUGUGCUGACCCCUGUGAUUACCCCAAGUGCAGAAAACUUGACUGCAUAAUUUGUGGUACUGGGGGACUGUGUUUGCACUCUCCCCUG
ensembl:snRNA U1 U1 spliceosomal RNA